UCCGGUUGAUCCUGCCGGAGGCUACCGCUAUUGGAGUUCGAUUAAGCCAUGCGAGUCGAGAGUCUUAGGGACUCGGCGCACCGCUCAGUAACACGUGGGUAACCUGCCCUAUGCUGGGGAAUAACCUCGGGAAACUGAGAAUAAUGCCCCAUAGCCCACUACGCCUGGAACGGUGAGUGGGUCAAAGCUCCGGCGGCAUAGGAUGGGCCUGCGCCGUAUCAGGUUGUAGGGGGUGUAAAGUACCCUCUAGCCAUCAACGCGUACGGGUGUUGGGAGACAUUGCCCGGAGAUGGAUUCUGAGACACGAAUCCAGACCCUACGGGGUGCAGCAGGCGCGAAAACUUGGCAAUGCGAGCAAUCGUGACCAGGGAACUCCAAGUGCGUAGGGUAAGACCUACGCUUUUCUUGACUCUUCAAAGGUCUUGGAAUAAGGGGUGGGUAAGGACGGUGCCAGCCGCCGCGGUAAUACCGGCGCCUCAAGUGGUAGUCGCUUUUAUUGGGCCUAAAACGUCCGUAGCCGGUCUGGUGCAUUCGUGGGUAAAUCAACCCGCUCAACGGGUUGAAUUCUGCGAGCACGGCCAGACUUGGGACCGGGAGAGGUGUGGGGUACUCUCAGGGUAGGGGUAAAAUCCUGUCAUCCUGAGAGGACCACCUGUUGCGAAGGCGCCACACUAGAACGGAUCCGACGGUCAGGGACGAAACCUAGGGGCACGAACCGGAUUAGAUACCCGGGUAGUCCUAGGUGUAAACGCUGUGGACUUGAUGUUGGGGGCGCUCCGAGCGCUUUCAGUGUCGAAGCGAAGGUGAUAAGUCCACUGCCUGGGGAGUACGGUCGCAAGGCUGAAACUUAAAGGAAUUGGCGGGGGAGCACCGCAACCUGAGGAUUGUGCGGUUUAAUUGGAUUCAACGCCGGAAAACUCACCAGUGCCGACGGACAAAUGAAAGCCAGUGUGAUGAGCUUGCUGGAUUGUUCGAGAGGUAGUGCAUGGCCGCCGUCAGUUCGUACCGUAAGGCGUUCUGUUAAGUCAGAUAACGAACGAGACCCUCAUCUCUAUUUGCAACCCGUCUCUCCGGAGGCGGCGCACUAUAGAGAGACCGCUGGUGUGAAACCAGAGGAAGGCGAGGGCAACGACAGGUCAGUAUGCCCCGAAU
rnacentral:rRNA from 1 species